rnacentral:ncRNA from 2 species
CGCUACGGACUUGAUUGUAUUGAGCCUUGGUAUGGAAACCUGCUAAGUGGUAACUUCCAAAUUCAGAGAAACCCUGGAAUUAAAAAAGGGCAAUCCUGAGCCAAAUCCGUGUUUUGAGAAGGGAUUCUCGAACUAGAAUACAAAGGAAAAGGAUAGGUGCAGAGACUCAAUGGAAGCUGUUCUAACGAAUCGAGUUAAUUACGUUGUGUUGUUAGUGGAAUUCCUUCUAAUUCUAAAUUAGAGAAAGAGGGGUUUUAUACUUUAUACAUUUAAUAAACACGUAUAGAUACUGACAUAGUAAACGAUUAAUCACAGAACUCAUAUUAUAAUAUAGGUUCUUUAUCUUUUUUAAAAUUUCAAAAUAAAAUUCGAAAUGAUUAUGAAAUAAAAAACUCAUAUCAUAAUUUUAUUUUGAAUUAUUGUGAAUCCACCGAAUAUUGAAUAAUCAAAUUCUUCAAUUCAAAUUCAAAGUUUUGAGAACUUUCAAAAAGUGGAUUAAUCGGACGAGGACAAAGAGAGAGUCCCAUUCUACAUGUCAAUACUGACAACAAUGAAAUUUCUAGUAAAAGGAAAAUCCGUCGACUUUAUAAGUUGUGAGGGUUCAAGUCCCUCUAUCCCCA